rnacentral:rRNA from 1 species
GGCGAACGGGUGAGUAAUACAUCGGAACGUGCCCAACAGUGGGGGAUAGCCCGGCGAAAGCCGGAUUAAUACCGCAUACGACCUUUGGGUGAAAGCGGGGGACCGCAAGGCCUCGCGCUGUUGGAGCGGCCGAUGUCAGAUUAGGUUGUUGGUGGGGUAACGGCCUACCAAGCCGACGAUCUGUAGCUGGUCUGAGAGGACGACCAGCCACACUGGGACUGAGACACGGCCCAGACUCCUAC